rnacentral:lncRNA from 1 species
CGGGAGGAGCCCCUGGAUCGUCCCCAUGGAGACACCGCUGGGGUCCCCAACCCCCAUCCCCAGAUCCGGCGGAAUCCCAAAAUUCCAGAGAGCCAAAAUUCGGGAGCCAAACGCUUUAUUUAAAAACAGGUCUCUGUACAGAGGGAAAUUCCAGGUGGGAAUUUCGGGAAUUGGAUCCCGUUAUCCACCGGGAAGCAGCAGAGAGGGACGGGGGUGGAGGGCUGGGAAUGGAUCCCAUCCCGAAUUCCCUUUUCCCACUUUUUUUGUCCCCGAGGAUGGAGGUGAUGGAAGACUUUUCCCAUGGAUUGGGAUCCCCCGGGGUAUUGCUGAGAGGAGCCGGGAAUUCCUGGGAAUUUUGGGAAUUCUUGGGAAUUCUGGGAUUCAGAGGAGGCGGACGAGGCGUCCCAGGGUUUCGGCCACCUUGACCCUCACGGCAGGAACCGGAUCCUUGAGCAGCAGCUGCAGGGCUGGAACGGCAGAGACCGGAUUGGGAUCGGGAUUGGGAUUGGAUUGGGAUUGGAUUGGGAUUGGAUUGGGAUUGGGAUUGGAUUGGGAUUGGGAUUGGGAUUGGGAUAGGAUUGGGAUUGGGAUUGGGAUCAAGAUUGGGAUUGGAUGGGGAUUGGGAUUGUAUUGGGAUUGGAUUGGAAUUGGGAUCGGGAUUGGAUUUGGAUUGGAUUGGGAUUGGGACUGGAUUGGGAUUGGAUUGGAAUUAGAUUGGGAUCGGGAUUGGAUUGGGAUCAGGAUUGGGACUGGGAUUGGGAUUGGGAUUGCAUUGGGAUUGGAAUGGGAUGGGAGUCAGGACCAGGAUCAGGAACGGGAUUGGGAUUGGGAUUGGAGUUGGGAUUGGGAUCAGGAUUGGCAUUGCAUUGGGAUUGGGAUGGUAUUGGAGUCAGGAUGAGAAUCAGGAUCAGGAUCAGGAACGGGAUUGGGAUUGGAUUGGGAUUCGGAUCAAAAUUGGAGUUGGGAUUGGGCUUGGGAUCAGGAUCAGGAUUGGAGUCGGGAUCAAGCUCAGGGUGAGGAUUGGAGUCAGGACCAGAAAAAAUCAGGAUUGGGAUCAGGAUUGGGAUUGGGAUCAAAAUUGGGGUCGGGAUUGGGGUCGGGAUUGGGAUUGGGAUCAGGGUUUGGGAUUACUCAGGAUCAUAAAGAAUCAGGAUUGGAAUCUCGAUCAGAAUCAGGACGGAGAUCAGGAGAGGAAUCAGGAUUGGGAUUGGGAUCAGGAUUGGGAUUGGGAUUGGGAUCAGAAUUGGGGUCAGGAUUGGGAUCAGAAUCAGGACUGGGAUUGAUAAUAGGAUUGGGAUCAGGAUUGGGAUGAGGAUCAAGGAUCAGGAUUGCAGUUGGGAUUGGGAUUGGGAUUUGAUUGGGAUUGGGAUUAGAUUGGGAUUAGAUUGGGAUUGGAUUGGGAUUGGAUUGGGAUCGGGAUUGGGAUCAGGAUUGGGAUUGGGAUUGGAGUUGGGAUUGGGGUUGGGAUUGGGAUCAGGAUCAGGAUUGGAAUCUCAAUCAGAAUCAGGACUGAGAUCAGGACAGGAAUCAGGAUUGGGAUUGGGAUCAGGAUUGGGAUCGGGAUUGGAUUGGGAUCAGGAUUGGGAUUGGAUUGGAUUGGAUUGGAUUGGUAUUGGAGUCAGGAUCAGAAUCAGGAUCAGGAUCAGGAACGGGAUUGGGAUCGGGAUUGGGAUUCGAGUUGGGAUUGGGGUUGGGAUUGGGAUCAGGAUUGGGAUCCCCCAGCCCUGGACAUUGAAAACUCCGGGGAUUCCCAGGAAUUCCCACCCCAUUCCCGCGCCAUUCCCACGCUGUUCCCGCUGGAUUCCUGCUUUAUUCCCAUCACAUUCCCGCUUUUUUGGUGCUGCAUUCCCACUCCUUUCCCCACCACAUUCCCACCGGAUUCCCACUGGAAUUCCUCUGCAUUCCCCCCAGAUCAAUUCCCGGAGCCACUCCAGGAUUUGGGAAUGGGGCUGGGAGAGAUUUGCUCAGGAAAAUCCCACGGAAUUCCAAAUUCCCAACACUCCCAGGAAAUUCCAAUGCUCCCAUCCCGGAAUUCCCAAUCCUGAAAAAUUUGCUGGAUCUGGGAAUUUUUAUGGAUUUUUUUUUCCCCAAAAAAUGAGGAUUUUAUUCCCAUCGUUAUCGAGGACUUGAGGACCGACAGGGAAAAAUUUUUCCCUGUUUUUCCUGGGAUUUUGGUUUUUUUUGGGUUUUUUUUGGUGGGAAGAGCAAAAAAAUUGGAAUGAAAUUUAAAUGAAAGGCUUGGGAUGGGCCUAAAAAAUAAAUAUGAAAGACUCAGGAUGAUUCCA